rnacentral:rRNA from 1 species
AACGAACGCUGGCGGCAUGCCUAACACAUGCAAGUCGAACGAGAUCUUCGGGUCUAGUGGCGCACGGGUGCGUAACGCGUGGGAAUCUGCCCUUGGGUUCGGAAUAACAGUUAGAAAUGACUGCUAAUACCGGAUGAUGACUUCGGUCCAAAGAUUUAUCGCCCAGGGAUGAGCCCGCGUAGGAUUAGCUUGUUGGUGAGGUAAAGGCUCACCAAGGCGACGAUCCUUAGCUGGUCUGAGAGGAUGAUCAGCCACACUGGGACUGAGACACGGCCCAGACUCCUACGGGAGGCAGCAGUGGGGAAUAUUGGACAAUGGGCGAAAGCCUGAUCCAGCAAUGCCGCGUGAGUGAUGAAGGCCUUAGGGCUGUAAAGCUCUUUUACCCGGGAUGAUAAUGACAGUACCGGGAGAAUAAGCCCCGGCUAACUCCGUGCCAGCCGCCGCAGUAA